rnacentral:rRNA from 3 species
GCGACCCCAGGUCAGGCGGGGCCAC